rnacentral:lncRNA from 1 species
UAUUAAUGCUAGUUAUCCUAAAUUGCAAUUUAUUUGCUCUUUCUAAAUGUCUGUUAACUAUUAGCUUGUGAAUACAAUGACAACACAGUUGAAGUGAAGAGCUCAUAGCUUUGCAGAUUGAGGAGAUUUCCACCUUCUGCAUCUUCAGGUGACAUGUAAGUAAAUAAGAUAUUACAUGUCUAGAAGAGGGGAAGACACUAUAAAUAUCAAAGGCUCUGCAGGUGGAAAAGCUCCAUCUCCACUGCAGCUCCAUCCCUUGUGGAACAGCCUCUGUGUGUGCCUGCUUGGAUGCCUUUGAGCCAAAGGAGAAAACUUCAGCUCCAGAGCCCCAGCCUUGGAUGUGUGCAGGCUCAGGAUGGCCUCUUGUGCAAGGUACUCAGUUUUUAAUGAGCCAGCUCAUAUCCUGUCAGUGACCCCAUCCCACUGCCUGCAGACCAG